rnacentral:tRNA from 1 species
UAGCUCAGUUGGUAGAGCAUGGUGCUUGCAAUGCCAGGGUUGUGGGUUUGAUUCCCAU